UACGUAGGGUGCGAGCGUUGUCCGGAAUUACUGGGCGUAAAGAGCUCGUAGGCGGCUUGUCGCGUUGUUCGUGAAAAUUUACCGCUCAACGGUGAACUUGCGGGCGAUACGGGCAGGCUAGAGUACUGCAGGGGAGACUGGAAUUCCUGGUGUAGCGGUGAAAUGCGCAGAUAUCAGGAGGAACACCGGUGGCGAAGGCGGGUCUCUGGGCAGUAACUGACGCUGAGGCGCGAAAGCGUGGGGAGCGAACAGG
rnacentral:rRNA from 1 species